CUGCAAGUGUGUCAAAAAAAUGUUGCCAGAAGUUUGCCAAUAAUGGUGAAUCUGCAGCAAACAUUUUUCAACAAUAAUAUGCAUUUUAGUGGCAAACAGUUCGCAAGAGUAUUUUUUUCUUCUGACAAAAAAUUCUCAAGAUUCUAUUUGAAUCUGUGGCAACAAUAUUUAUUGCCACGUUACCAGAAACGGCUUCUGGUGAAAACAUGCGUUUUAAAACCAGUUGACGACCAAUCAGGGGGAUUCGAAAAAUAUGUUGGAAAAUGGAAACGAAGAAAUCUAGCUAGCUACCUAUCAAAGUUUGCCAAUGGCUACCCUUCCCCUACCUGUGGUGUUGGAAAAUGCUGUAUUGGGAGGAGGAUGCAUCAACCUUCUUUGAGCGAUACAUUUGUGUCUAUAAGCAUGAAGCAAUCAGUUACAAGGCAAAAACCAAGAUUGAGGCCUUCAAUCUACCCGAGGACAGAGAGAUGUGUGCAGCCGGUGCAACUUCUUGCAUGCAUGGCUUUGAGAUGAAGAAGAGACAACUAUUAGACUACUUCUUAGUGAUGAAGUCCCCAGUUUAUAUUGUAUAUCAUAAUUAGUUUGAUAAAAUUGUGUUGAGGCUUGGCUGGAGCAAAAUAUUGUGUCCUGUGAAACAGUUGGCCACACAUUUUAAAGGUAGAUUUAGUAGGCCUAGUUUAUGCUAGCUCCAUCAUUUGUUUAUAUACAUUGUUUCCUUGCUAAAAAAUAUAUGGAAUGCCAGUUUCAGUGAGAAGCAUAGCAACAUCAAGGCAACUUUAACAGCUUUUUAAAAAUGUAUUUAUAAUUUAUUUAACUAGGCAAGUCAUUUAAGAACAAAUUCUUAUUUUCAAUGACGGCCUACCGGGGAACAGUGGGCUAACUGCCUUGUUCACUGGCAGAACUACAGCUCGGGGAUGCAUUUUGGAUGAAAGACUUCCAUAGGGCCGCGCCAUCUUCAAAGUUCACUCAAAAAGGCAAUAGUUCUGAACUAGGUUUGAUUUAGUUUUUGAUGUUUUAAUUAUUAAAUCUUUUUAAAACUUUCAAUAGUUGAAAGCUAUUGCUCAUGUAUCACUUGGCUCAUGUAAAUUCAGUAGUUGCCCCUUUAAACAUCAUAAGGUCAACAUCCCCAUUGUGUUCACGUGUAAAUGUUGUAGCUACAUAAAAAUGUCAAACAAUA